GACGUAGGGGGCAAGCGUUGUCCGGAAUCAUUGGGCGUAAAGAGCGUGUAGGCGGCCCGGUAAGUCCGCUGUGAAAGUCGAGGGCUCAACCCUCGAAUGCCGGCGGAUACUGUCGGGCUAGAGUCCGGAAGAGGCGAGUGGAAUUCCUGGUGUAGCGGUGAAAUGCGCAGAUAUCAGGAGGAACACCUACGGCGAAGGCAGCUCGCUGGGACGGUACUGACGCUGAGACGCGAAAGCGUGGGGAGCAAACAGG
rnacentral:rRNA from 1 species